rnacentral:rRNA from 1 species
UACGGGGGGGGCAAGCGUUGUUCGGAAUUACUGGGCGUAAAGGGCUCGUAGGCGGCCAACUAAGUCCGACGUGAAAUCCCCAGGCUUAACCUGGGAACUGCGUCGGAUACUGGAUGGCUUGAAUUCGGGAGAGGGAUGCAGAAUUCCAGGUGUAGCGGUGAAAUGCGUAGAUAUCUGGAGGAAUACCGGUGGCGAAGGCGGCAUCCUGGACCGACAUUGACGCUGAGGAGCGAAAGCUAGGGGAGCAAACGGG